rnacentral:lncRNA from 1 species
UACAAACAAUAUUGGUUUAUCUUUGGAUUCAAAGGUGCCUUGAAGAUAAGAGAGCAUAAAUCCAUUUAUGUCCAAUUGCUUCCAUAAAUACGCCUUCUUUUUUCAACUUACAACUUCCUUUGGUGUUUUUAUUUUUGUUUUUUUAUCUUUGACAUUUUUUUCUUUCUUUUCUUUUUCUUUUCUUUUUAUUUUCCAUUGUUUUGUUAAAGUACAUUAAUUUUUCUUUUGAAUUUCAUCACCAAUUUUAACAUACUUAAUUUUCUUUUCUUUCAUAAAACGUUCUCCCCAACUUGCAUAUUAUGAUACACUUAAAAUUAAUGUUCUCAUACCCUUAAGACAAGGUAUAAGACCCCAAUUUUUACCCUAAGAUCC